AGUAAAGUUAGAAACAUUUUAGAGUCUAGGUUUCCUCCAUUUUCUUUCCAUAAAAUUGAACACCAUUACGCUCGCGAAUGUGCUUCGUCCAAGCUUACGUCCUUUUCAUAGUUUGUCUUGGUUGAGCUUAUUGAGAGUUUGCGCAAGAUUGCAAGCCGUACACUUUUGAAGGGGAUGCAAUUUGUACCCUGUGAAGUAAGAAGAAUAUAGACCUGGCGGAGCUGUUUAUGAACAGAAAUAAGAAGUGUUUUGUUUGUUAAGGUAAAGGUUAAUGGUUGGAUCUGAAACCCUGAAUUUGAAUUAGAGGUUAAUUUUAUGACCGAGUUCAUUAAAAAAUUUAGUACAUAUUUGAUUUUGAUUUUUGUUGUGAUUGAAUGACCUAUUGUGGAGGUUGAACAAAGACUUUUGCAUGGAGGGGAAUCCUUUGUUGGCAUGGUGUUAAAGGUUAGGGUCUUUUUUGUGAAGCAAUAAUUGGUUUGGACACUUCAUCUUGAGCUGAGAAAGUUGUGCCACUUCAACCCUAUUUCCAUGUCAACAUUUAGGCCUAGAGUGGCAAUUUUGUAAUUUUGUCGCCCACAAUGGCAGAUUUGUAAUUCUGAACAUGUUUGGUGAUGUGACCAAGUUGGGUUUAGGGUUUUAGGGACCAGAACCUCUAUUUUUGUUUUGGUCUUCUCUUUUCACGUUUGGAGAGACCUUAUAAGAGCCAUUUGAAGGCAACCACUCUAUUUUCAUAUUUUGGUUCAUUUUGGACAACACCCAACUUAAGGUUUCACAUUCUAGUUUGAUUGUUUACGUUUCUAGUUCAAUUUAUCCCU